AGUCAGGGGCAGGGCAGGGCAGGGCAGCCAGAUAACGGCAUGGAACUCGAACACUAACUUUAAGCAGCGGCGUUGCGUUAAGCAAGCGGGAAGAGGCGAACCGAACCGAACCGAACGAACGAACGAACGAACGAACGAACGAAUGAACCCCGGGCGAUACUCCGCACACCCCUCGCUCAUCGUCAGUUCCCCGCUGUCCGUUGGUACGUUCGCACGUCCGUCCAUUCUUCAGACAUAACCAAUCGUCCGUAUUUCUAGUUAUUAUCAUCAGUUUUACCCGUUGACAACUGUUGUUUUCGCGAAUAUUGUUAAGCGGGAGAAAGGAGAGGCGAGUGUUUUUACGAUACUACCUUUCCUCGAUUUCGGACGUUAGCCGUCGGUCAGGUUUAUACGGUUGGAAAAUGACGGUGCGGUAAACGUGGUUGUAAUAUCGUCGCGGCCUGCUCCGACUUGAUAUAUACCUAUCAUACCUACUCGUUCCGAAUUCGCCCUGUGACGUCGCUGCCGGGAGAUAAAGGCCAUGUGCUCACGAAGCAUACGUACGUACAGUGGUAUUCGACGACGAGAACGUAAUUGAGACUGAUACCUUCGAUCGUCGCGCUGCACAGGUGGACUUUCCUUUUUUGUGCUACAUGCGUACACGUAUUUUCGUACCAGUGGUGAUGAUGAUCAUUAGCGUGAUAGUAGCCGUAGUAUAUCAGUGCCGUGUGAAAUAGAUUCCUUGUGUGCAGUGAGGUCAUGUGUGUGGGUUUGUGCGCGUCGGUUUUAAACUAACGACUCGAAAUUAGGAAAUUUGUGUCCUCGAACCAAUAAAUGAUCGAUGAGCUACAACCCGAAACUGAACUCGAGAUACGUGCAAUGUACUCUGUGUAAUGGAAAAAAGUUAUAAAAAUUAAGCAACCGGAAGAAGAAGGACUGAGAGACGACGACGACGACGACGACGACGAAGACGACGACGACAACAACGACGGCGACGACGACGAAGAAAAAAAAGAAAAAGAAACAGAGAAAGAAAAAGAAAAGGAAACGGAAAAGGUAAAAGAAAGUGGGCGUGGACAAGGAAGGGAGGAAGAGAGAAAAAUCUUAAAACAAUCAAGAGUUAAGGUCUGAUGUUAGCGGACAUAAACGGGAACCUGGCGGAUCUGAGAAGCGAAGCUAUGGCGUCGCAGAGGUUUUGUCUCCGCUGGAACAACCACCAAAGCAAUCUGCUAUCCGUUUUCGAUCAGCUACUACACGACGAAUCAUUCGUCGACGUCACCCUGGCCGUUGAGGGCCAGCUACUCAGAGCUCACAAAAUGGUCCUCUCCGCAUGCAGUCCCUAUUUCCAGGCACUGUUCGUCGGACAUCCCGACAAGCACCCAAUAGUGAUAUUGAAGGAUGUACCGUACGUCGACAUGCGAAGCCUACUGGACUUUAUGUAUCGCGGUGAAGUGAGCGUAGACCAGGACAGGCUGACGGCUUUUCUCCGGGUCGCCGAGUCCUUGAGGAUCAAAGGGUUGACCGAGGUAAACGAGGACAAGUGUGACCUGCCUAGUAUAACGUCGUCGUUGUACGGUAACCAAAACUCCGUCGCACCGCCGCCGCCGAAUUUGCACCGGAUAAACCAGGCGGGUUCACAGCAGCAACACGUCACCUCGCAAAAAAGGUUUCAGACGAUGUCGAGCCACCCUCUGCUCGGCUCGGCACUCACGGCACCGAAACGGAAACGGGGCAGACCCAGGAAACUAAGCGGUUCGUCCGACACACCCCUCGACUCGAAGGGUGACGGCCAGGGAUCCGGCGGCGAUCUCGUCCAGGGAUCGCCAGAGAUGAUGGAAAUGAAAAUGGGACUUGAUUUCCAGAGCGAGACCAACAGUACGAGGAACAGCGAGCCCACGGAAAAUGGUACCGACACACCGGAGCCUGUCACGCCGAAAGUCAAACGAGAACCAGAGCCAACGCCUAGUACCUCGGCGCAAGCUCCAGACGAGACAUUUGCUCGGCCGCCUAGUAGACAGGGAAGCGAAGGUUUCCAGCAAGACAACCUGCCCUGCAAUUUGCCGAGCGACAUAACGUUCGAGAUAUGCACUUCGCCCGCCAGCCGAGACGACGCUUCUUUGUAUGCUGAGACGGGGGUCGGUGCGGGGGUCGGUGAGUCGUCGUCGUCGUCGUCGCCGUUCGUGAAAACUGAGCGCAUCGCAAGCGGGGUCCACUUUUUGACCGACCAAGAGGAGGACCAGCGGCGGGAUCUUGUCGGGAAGUCCGAGCUGAGCGUGGAAACGGAGCCCGAGGUCCGGAAACAGUCUGCAAAUGGUGCGGCGAGGUCCUACCCUCUCGAACACGGUGGUACAGGCACAAGUACAAGCUCCACGUGUCGACCCAGGUCGCCCAGCCGGCGCCCCUCUUCAAGUGCCACAGCUGCAACGCCUACUUCAAGUCGCGGAAGGGAUACAUCGGGCACCUGAGCUCGAGGCACUCGGACAACGAGAACGACGAGAACAGGGAAGAACCGCUGAACAAGAAGACGCGGAGAACCUCCGAACGUCGAUUUGUCGAUUACAGCAGAUGGGAAAAGGCCCGGACUGGGAACAGCAGAGGGAAAAGGAGGAGAAACUUGUCGCGGACAUAAUCGACAGAGUUAAGCGGGAAUGCGAGGCUCAG
rnacentral:misc_RNA from 1 species